AGUAUAGCCAAUUGAGAAAAUCUGAUUCACACUAUAAAAUCAAAGGGAAGCUGUUAAGUAUGUGAAGCUGGUAAGUAAUUGGGCUAAAUAAGAAUUUUCCCCAGGUGAAAAUGGGGACCCGAACUGAAAAUGGAGGAAACCCACCUCCUGAGUCUUUGGUGAAAGAGUGAAGCUAUAUUCCAGACUACGACUUUAUGACCUUUCUAUCACUUGGUAAGGAGUGAUCCCAAAAAGUGGUGUGAUCCUUGCAAGUGAGUAAGAUGCCUGCCUUCCUGGAGGCCCGGAGAAAUUGAGGGAGGGAAAGCGUCCUUCAAGAUGCGGAAUCACGCAAGGCAGUGGGACUAGGAAUCCCUUUUAAAGUUUCUCUAAAUCACUUAAAGUCAUCUAUCCUUCGUCAUGAGAAGAUACCUGUUGGAACAGAAGUAAAGCCGCUCUUGACCCAGGAAGGGUUAAUAAUCACUGGAAAAGGCUUGCCAGCAAACUGUGACCCGGAGGUGAGAAGGCCGGUUAGCCAAUGACAGCAAUAUGAACAGAAGUUGUGAGAGGGAAGAUGUUAAAGAGAAAGAUACAAUGAUCGGCAAACAACUGAAGAAAAUAGCUGCCUCUCUCUCCAGUCAGAUCACCUAAAUUAGCCAAGUUGUUAAGAACUGCUUUUGUUGCUUUUUGUUUGCUUGCUGCUGUAGAAAUACAUCAGGACUAAUUCUGUGGAGUCUGUCUCCUUUGAAGUGACUGGCCACUGAUGUCUCCACUUCAUUUAUAUGUUUAAGUCUGGAUUCCUAUAAUGUGUCCUUCUGUAUGCAAAGCUUCAGAGUCAACCAGUGACUGGUGCCGAUCCAGGUGCUGAUGCGUGGAUCCAGGUGCUGAAUCGUGGAUGAAGGUGCUGAUGCAUAGAUCCAGAUGCUGAGCUGUGGAUCCAGGUGCUGAUGCAUGGAUGUGUUCUUUAUGCAAAAAUUCGUAAAUUCUUAUUCUUUGAUUU
rnacentral:lncRNA from 1 species